GCUGGCGUGGCUCAGUGGUUAGAGCAUCCGCCCGUGCACCCAGGGGUCGUGGGGUCAAAUUCCCCAUUAAGGGCAGAUUCCUGGGUUGCAGGUUCGAUCCCUGCUCCCGGUC
rnacentral:tRNA from 1 species